CUCAUAUCUUGAGCUAGUAAAAUCAGCUUCUUCUUCAACUACUGUCACAACACGAGGGUUAAGCGAUUGAAACAUUCGGAUCACAGCACUUCUUUCUUCUACUUCAACUAUUCUCAAUGCUCCGAUGCAAUUGAUCGCUAUAGCUUCAUCUUCUUGAACACCUAAUCCUUCCUUAGUGAGCUCUGAUAAGUUGUUUAGCCCACUUAUUAAAUUGAUCUCGAAGGGGACACCCAUUAACCUAGCAAACUUCUCCAUUCUGUGGCCUAUUUCCUUCAUGACUGAUCUUACGAUGCUAGCAGUAACAACAACAGUGAGCUUUAAAUGGGGGGUCUCGUCGUUUCUUGUGGCUAACGCUUCAAGCAAAGUGGGCCAUUGGGUGCAAAGGGUAUUGCUAAUAUCAAUUAUGUGAAGUUUGGUUUCACCUUCUAAGGCCUCUAAGAUUGCACCAUUAGAAGCAACAUGACCAAAAGUUGUCCAAGGGCUUACCUCUUGGAAUUUUAGUAUCAACUUCCUAGCAGAAUCAAAGGAGUGGCUCUUUUCAGCUACUGAAGUUAGGGUUUUGAAGCAUCGGUGGCCGGACUCCGUGGCCUUACAAAAAAGUGCUUGCAAGAAAUAAGAUGCCAAUUUCUGAUCACAAUCUCCAUAAGGGGAAGCAAGCUCAUUUAACAUCCAAAGAAGUUGAUGGAUUUUGCUUGAAUCCUUGUCAGAGAUGGCUCUAGCACACUCCCUAAGAAGCUUUGAUGCCCAUUUGUUAGCUGUUGAGCCACAAGGCUCACCGGAAUCUGAUGACCGGCUCGUCGAGGUAUGGCUAUUCUGGGGAUGAUUGUUGUUGCUGCUGUUGUUGUUGUAGCUGCUGUGGUUGUUGCUUUGCAUGUCUAGAGGUGGUGACUGCUGAUCAUUGCCUCUUUGUUGGUGGAGAGGGAAGAAGUGUGUAUAUGUUUCUUUUGGAGCAAAGAGGGAGAUGUCCAUGUGUAAUGGGGGAGGCCCCCUUUGACUCCAGAGGAAGCUUAUU
rnacentral:misc_RNA from 1 species